rnacentral:rRNA from 1 species
UACACUCCUGCGGGAGGCAGCAGUGGGGAAUUUUGGACAAUGGGCGAAAGCCUGAUCCAGCAAUGCCGCGUGAGUGAAGAAGGCCUUCGGGUUGUAAAGCUCUUUUGUCAGGGAAGAAACGGUGAAAGCUAAUAUCUUUUGCUAAUGACGGUACCUGAAGAAUAAGCACCGGCUAACUACGUGCCAGCAGCCGCGGUAAUACGUAGGGUGCAAGCGUUAAUCGGAAUUACUGGGCGUAAAGCGUGCGCAGGCGGUUUUGUAAGUCUGAUGUGAAAUCCCCGGGCUCAACCUGGGAAUUGCAUUGGAGACUGCAAGGCUAGAAUCUGGCAGAGGGGGGUAGAAUUCCACGUGUAGCAGUGAAAUGCGUAGAUAUGUGGAGGAACACCGAUGGCGAAGGCAGCCCCCUGGGUCAAGAUUGACGCUCAUGCACGAAAGCGUGGGGAGCAAACAGGAUUAGAAACCCUGGUAGUCCCA